GACGAACGCUGGCGGCGUGCUUAACACAUGCAAGUCGAACGGAAAGGCCUGCUUUCCCUUGUGGAUUGCGGGUACUCGAGUGGCGAACGGGUGAGUAACACGUGAGUGAUCUGCCCCCAACUUGGGUAUAAGCCUGGGAAACUGGGUCUAAUUCCCGAUAGGACUGCAGGGUGGUGCCUGUGGUGGAAAACGAUUUUCUAGUGGUUGGGGAUAAGCUCGCGGCCUAUCAGCUUGUUGGUGGGGUAAUGGCCUACCAAGGCGGCGACGGGUAGCCGGCCUGAGAGGGUGGACGGCCACAUUGGGACUGAGAUACGGCCCAGACUCCUACGGGAGGCAGCAGUGGGGAAUAUUGCACAAUGGGCGGAAGCCUGAUGCAGCGACGCCGCGUGGGGGAUGACGGCCUUCGGGUUGUAAACUCCUUUCGACCGCGAGGAAGCCACCUGGUUGGAAGGGUGGUGACGGUAGUGGUAGAAGAAGCACCGGCUAACUACGUG
rnacentral:rRNA from 1 species